CAGUAGCGUAUAUUAAAGUUGUUGCAGUUAAAAAGCUCGUAGUUGGAUUUCUGGUACAACGCGCCUGGCCCGCUUACGUGAGUGCCGGUGCGCGUUUGCCAUCCUUCUAGAAAACGUCUCUACUCGGGCAACUGAGCCGGGUUCGUGAUCUAGAUCGUUUACUUUGAAAAAAUUAGAGUGUUUAAAGCAGGCUUUUGCUAUGAAUACAUUAGCAUGGAAUAAUAAUCUAGGACUUCGGUGCUAUUUUGUUGGUUUCUGGAACUGAAGUAAUGAUUGAUAGGGAUAGUGGGGGUGCUAGUAUUGAGCGGCCAGAGGUGAAAUUCUUGGAUUCGCUCAAGACUAACUUAUGCGAAAGCAUUCACCAAGGAUGUCUUCUUUAAUCAAGAACGAAAGUUGGGGAUCGAAGACGAUUAGAUACC
rnacentral:rRNA from 1 species